rnacentral:sRNA from 1 species
UUCAACGAAUGUCUCCUGGUACAUUGCUUGCCAUAUAUGGAGGAAUGCGUCUGCCCAGGAACUCCCAGAAGCUUAAAAGAGCGGCUUUUCGGGCUUUAUUCGCUCUAUACUUUCUAUUACAUACAACAAGAAAAGCAUGUCGUUAAAGUUCGUAUGGACCCGGAUUCAUCUCGCAACUUCCGAAGGUUCGCACAGUUUCUGCUGACGGAGAAGAUUUACGAUGCUUAUGCGUUGUGCCAGAAGUUGCUCGAGGAUAAGGCUAUCAAGCAAGUCGCAUUCAUAUCGAUUG